ensembl:lncRNA
UCCGCCUGACCGCGGUGCGGAACGCGCCGGCUCAGGCGAGAUCACUGUGUUUCGCAGCGGACGGGACCGCCGCGGUCCCUUUGCGGCCGCGGUCCUCGGAGCGGCGGCUCGCGCCGUUGCAGAGCCAAGAGCGCCCCCUGGCGGGAACGCGGCGGCGGUCCUCUAUGGCCUCUGUGUGCGAGGGGCUUGGGACGGGCGGCGUGCAGGGCGGUGCGCCGGCUGGGAGGGCUCGGGAAAGGGGAAAUAGCAGCCGAGGUGAGAAAGGAGCGUACGGAAAGGGUGGCAGGGCUGGCUGGUCCUCACCAGAUAGGUGAGACUAUGCAAGAUAAUCGUUGUCAGCUUAACGGAGAUGAGAACCAGGGGAAAAGUUUGCCUCUCUCAGAUUUCUAUAGCAAUUACAAUUAUAUACUGUGUAUUUCCAUCAUACCUCCACACCAUAAAAACCACAGAACUUCUGUCAGGGUGAUACAGACAUUUACUAUAGUCAACAUAAGAUGCACGAAUUAAGGAGUAGAUUAAAGUCCUACUGACUUUUUUUUUUUCCUUCACAAGAUCCCAAUUAAAUUAAACCUAAAAAGAUAUUAAAACAUAAUGUAAUGCUAAAAUGGGAUGGAAAGUACCGCAGUAAUAGCAGGGCAGCAGUCUCCAGCUACAGCAAAUGAGAACAAGCCCAGGUACAGCAGCUACAGAAAUGAAGGAAAAGAGCCACUUACCUUUAGAAGGCCUCAGGUAUGCAAGGAUCCCCAGCAAAAAAAACCCCUCACCUCCACUGCCAACCCUUAAAUGAGGUCUGGGAAGGUGUGGAUCCUGGCUCCACCUCUUCCAGACAUUCAGGUGCACUGCACUGCACUGCACUUGUGCUCCCCUGGGUUUGCCCUGCCUUCCACCAGGUGCUCAAUCACUGCUUGAGGUUGUGACACGUAUAAAUGGAACUGCUUUGUUUUCAGUGAAAAAAAGGUGUGAUAGAAGUAACCCUAGAAGAAGGUAACAAUAUGCUAAGGAAAUAGCUAUUCUGGGGCACUUCAUUCCUCGUGUAGAUAGGUUGUUGAGAUAACGGAGGCACAGAUAGUCUCACAGUAGACUUCUCCAUGGAGUUUCCUGUAGCCUGUGUUUCUCAGUUUCUGCUUCAUAUUGAAGUAGCUUAUCUAAUGCAACUUUCUGUGUUUCAAGACUGCAUGAAGUCUGCAACACAAGCAUGCUGAAAUUGCAUCAGUCUGACAAAAGCAAGAAGUUCGGAUCAGCUGUGAAAUAAGACGACAUUUGGACUUCCUGAAGGAGAGGGUCCUUUCCCUUCACAUUAACAAGGAGUCAGGACGUGAGGCCUGCACCUGUCUUCACAUUUCUGGGAGAAGUGACUGAAGUUCAGACAGUGAACAAGUAACUGAGAACAAGCAUCAGAUAAACCCAGAAGCUGUGCUGCACCUUUGGGAAGACAUUCUGAUGCACUGAAAGACUUCACUCAUUGGUGUACCUAGAGAAGCUUUCCCUAUGGUUAGUUGCUGGCUCCUGAAGUUUGGGGAAGGGAAGAAAAGGCAUACUGUAUACAUUAUAACAAAUUAUCUGGAGGAUUUAGAGGAGUCUUUUAAGCAUCAGUUCAUAUUCAAGUCUGAUGAUACUUAAUAAUAAUGGCUCCUGUUAAAGGUGGGUGGUAAUUCCAUUUAAUGAAGGUAGUUACUGGUGACAGUCUUUUUCACAGAGCUCUUUUUAACUCCUGCUAUCAUUGCUUUUAUUAUUUCUUUGGCUGUGACACAUGCAUAGAAAUCUAAUUGUAGAUGCUGCUACUUUUCAGGAUAUUUGAACUUGCUUGUUAACCUCUAUGAACAAUAUCAUCCAUUUCUUCCUUUCUGUGCUAAUUACCUACCAACAGGUGCAAUCUCAUGCCAGCAUACUAUUUAGCAGCGCUUCACGUCCUUGCCAACUCAAUGGAUAUAUUCACUGUUAAAAUGUGUGGCACUGUGGUUCCUGAGCACUUACAUGCAUUUUAUGGGGGAACGUUUGGCUUUUCGUGGAGUUUAUGGCUGCCGGGGAAGCAGCAUUAGUGUAAAAUGGUGUUUUCAGUCAGGAAUUCUUUUUACUGAUGAAAGAAGGCUUUCUGGUAAUAUCCAAAUUAAAAAGCUCCCAUUAACACCUGUAAUUUUGCCAUCUCAGAAGAAGGUUGCUCUGAUACACAGAAGAGCUGCACAGUAUAGUAAUUGCAGUCUUGGGGCAUAACUUCUGUUUUAGUUUCAACAGAGAUAAGGCAGUUUACCCAGUCAGAAACUGCUCUGUAAUGUGAACCAAGCAGGGGUAAGUUAGGAUGAUUAGGAUAUAUUUGCUCCAGAAUUGGACUUCUCAUCAAAACAAAAACACUAAGCCACUGUUAACCCAAAGCACGUCAGUGAUAGAAGCGCAGCGCUUCUUUUAGAUCUCCAGUGCUUGACUGGCUACCCGGAAAAAGAGUUUAAAGAGCUGAACUCUCAUCUGCCUCAUUUCAAAGACAUCUGACGUCCUGUGAAGAACAUGAAGGCAGUUUUUACCUGUGUUUCUGUCAGCUCCUAAACUGGCUUAAAAUGGUGGCAGGGGUAUGUGUGUGUGUUAUGGGGGGGGGGGGGGGGGUGGUGGUAAAGAGACAGGAACCCUAAGAAGUCUACACAUUCUUAUGCUGGAACUGAAGUUAGGCACACUUUGGCCCAGUCCUUGACACCACUUCUAAAUACAAGCUUCCAUGUGGCUAGGCUGGUGGUUCUGAAGACUUGCUAGAAACACGCAUGUCUGUUUCUCAUGCAUGCAAAUUCGGCCCUUCUUAAUUCAUUAGAGAAAGUCGUCCUAAAGAAAAUAGAAAAGAUGAAAUGUAAUCCCCGAAGUAACUUACAUUCCCCUAGCGUUAAUUGAACAGGAUUUUAAGAAGAUUAAAAAUACUUUCAAUCAGAUAUGAAGUAUGUUUAAUCUUUUAUUGCAAAAUCUCUUGUUGCUAAAUGUCAGGAAAGAAGCUAUUCUAAGGACAUGGAAAAGAACAGCUAAUGACUAAUCGAGGUGAGCUUAUUUUCCUGAAGUUUGGUGCUGUGGGAGUGCUAAUGUGCUUAAGUUGAAAGUAUCGUUAACCACUGUUUAUCUACAUCUCUUCUGAAUCGGGUUAAAUAAGCCUGUAGUUAAAAUCCAUACAGUCUAUACUAACUCCCACUGUAGCUUACAGCAGCAUUAGCAAAAGUGAAGCAUUUUGCAAAUACUCACAAAUGCAGUGCUUUACAUUCAAAUGCACAAGAAAAGUGAAAAUUCUGCCCCGGCUUAGCAAACUUACAAAGCACCAACAUAUGCUAAAGAGCACUGUAAUGCCUGGAGAAGGCCUCUUCCAAUUUCUUGAACACAUAAGAGCUCUUGUUUUUUGAUUGCUCUGGUUAAGGCUCAUGAUGUAAAGGACCCGUUCACAAGCAGGUAAGAGAAAUCACAACGUUCAUCUUCAUAAAUUGCAUUUCUAUUUUAAAUAAAACUGCAUUCUAUGCGAUAGAGGCAGAAGUCCAUCUCUGAGUUAGAACCCGUGUGACAUUUUUAUGAAUUUGAGAGCAGGAAGGAAGUAUAUGAAUGCUUGUAUUUCUGUGAAAGGAUCAAAAGGUGCUGGUAGGUAAGGUAAGCUAGCAUUACCUACAGAGAAGUAACAGCAGCAAAAGAGGCAGUACGUCUUUUUGAAGGUCAAGCAAUCAAUCAGUGGAAGAGUAGUCUGUUGCCAGGCCCAGGUAUUUCUCAUAAAAUUACACUUGCCUUUUUGAGCCUGGAGACCUUGUUUCCUCUUUUCUCCUCCCAAAUAAUUUUGUCUCUCUAUUUUUGUCUUUUGCUCUUUUCCACUUUCUUUCUUUACUUAGCCUCUGACUUUCUCUGAUGCGAUAAAAAGGACAAAAGGAAGAGCCUACAGGAACCAGCGCAGCCAGACUCUUGUCUUUGUCCAGCACUGCCUUUUAAUUUGUGUGAGAGAACAGCAGGAGAGAUCACUUCAUGCUGUGUGUAUUGCUGGCAUGCGGAGUCAGGAAAAACAGACGCUCCUGAUUUGCUUUGAGAAUGACUCCCUAAUCCAGGAUGCUCUUCUGUUAAUGAAGCAGCCCCAUGGUGCUAGGGCAGCCCAGUAACUUUUGUUGUAAUAUUUAAAUCCUGUGCACACGGCAGCAUUUCUUGCCAGCUCU